UACGGAGGGGGCUAGCGUUGUUCGGAAUUACUGGGCGUAAAGCGUACGUAGGCGGCUUUGUAAGUUAGAGGUGAAAGCCUGGUGCUCAACACCAGAACUGCCUUUAAGACUGCAUCGCUUGAACGUCGGAGAGGUGAGUGGAAUUCCGAGUGUAGAGGUGAAAUUCGUAGAUAUUCGGAAGAACACCAGUGGCGAAGGCGGCUCACUGGACGACUGUUGACGCUGAGGUACGAAAGCGUGGGGAGCAAACAGG
rnacentral:rRNA from 3 species